UUUACUUGGUUUAAGUAGUAAAAGAAGGGAAGGGGUGUUGAAGCGGUGAUACAAGUACGACCACGAGCAUAAACGUAUAUGAGAUGUAUUGAACCUGGGACUUGGAGUGUACAAGUGGAGUGCAAAGGAAGGCCUAAAUAGUCUCAAAAAUAGUCCACAAACUACACUCAAAGGGUGCCCAAAGUGAAGGAUUUGACUAAGGGGUCUUUUGGACAUUUCACACUAUUUUUGUAACCUACUAUAAAUAGGACAUUUUAGGUCAUUUAGUAUUAGAUUAUUCAUGAUAUUUGUGAGUCUUAUAUGACUUUUGAAAUGCCAAGUCCUCUCUCCUUUGAGGCAAAAUCAAAACUAGGUUUCAACUUGAGUGUCGAAUCACUCGUGUUGGAUUCAUAGAUUAGAACAUUGGGUGCUUGAAGGAUUGAGGUCUCUCUUGAGUCCAAAAAGAAUAUAGGUGUUAUUAUUACAUAAUUCUAAGGUUUUAGGUGUUGAAUACACACCCUAGUUCUAAGGUCAUGUAAUAAUAUAUGUCUUGCUACCUAUCUUUACAUUUCUUGUAGUCUUUGUUGUUGUUGUAGUAAAAUACGUGUAUUGUUGUUUCCAUUGUGUUAUUGCUCAUAUUUUUCUUCAUAUUGUUACCAUGAUAAUCUCUUGUUAGUUUGUGGUGGCUGAUUUGGUGUCAAAUGCACCCUUGUUUCUUGUAUUCUAGUUGUAUUUGUCGAAUCCGGGAGUUGUCUUAAAAUAGGUCCUCGGUUCUUGAACUAGUGGACUAGUUUUGGAGUGUGUUUUUAUGUGUUUUUUUUAUCUUUCUUGUAUCAUUUUUUAUCAUAUCCAUCUUUUAUUUUGUUCUAACAAGAUCAAUCUUGGGAUUAAAAGUUGAAAAAUAAAAAAAAAGAAAAAAGUUGAAAACUGAAAAUUCCAGAAAAGCGAGCAAUCUGUCCAUUUUUUGUUCUUGGACAAAAAUUAUGUUUUUGUUGUGUCUUGGAUGAGAUUUUUACUUCUAUUUGUUUUCUCUAAGUGUUAGUUUUGUUCCUCACUAACACAUUGAGUCUAUAUCUUGAUUUGAGCUUGUAUUUUGAUGCCGUUGUGAACAUAAACUUGGCGCAUUGUUGUUGAACAUUGUUGUGAUGCACUAUUUUUGGCUGUGUGGUUUUGCCUUGUUGUUCUUAAUCUUGGCCGUGGAUGUUGUUAUAAAUUUGUUGCCUAAGAACCUUUUGUUGAUGUUGUUGUUGAAAGGUGGAACUUGAGAAAGUGUUGAUUGAAGUGUAAGACCAACUUGAACCUUAGACUCCAAGAUUCAAAAGUUGGUAUUCUUUGUGUUCUUC
rnacentral:lncRNA from 1 species